rnacentral:rRNA from 1 species
UGGGGAAUAUUGGACAAUGGGCGAAAGCCUGAUCCAGCAAUGCCGCGUGAGUGAUGAAGGCCUUAGGGUUGUAAAGCUCUUUUACCCGGGAUGAUAAUGACAGUACCGGGAGAAUAAGCUCCGGCUAACUCCGUGCCAGCAGCCGCGGUAAUACGGAGGGAGCUAGCGUUAUUCGGAAUUACUGGGCGUAAAGCGCACGUAGGCGGCUUUGUAAGUAAGAGGUGAAAGCCUGGUGCUCAACACCAGAACUGCCUUUUAGACUGCAUCGCUUGAAUCCAGGAGAGGUGAGUGGAAUUCCGAGUGUAGAGGUGAAAUUCGUAGAUAUUCGGAAGAACACCAGUGGCGAAGGCGGCUCACUGGACUGGUAUUGACGCUGAGGUGCGAAAGCGUGGGGAGCAAACAGG